rnacentral:sRNA from 1 species
CAAUAUCUUGUCUGAGAAGGCCAAUGUGCCAUAACCUUUAAUCAUGUUAAAACUUUCAACAACGGAUCUCUUGGCUCUCGCAUCGAUGAAGAACGCAGCGAAAUGCGAUAAGUAAUGUGAAUUGCAGAAUUCAGUGAAUCAUCGAAUCUUUGAACGCACAUUGCGCCCUUUGGUAUUCCUUAGGGCAUGCCUGUUCGAGCGUCACCAACAACUAUUUCACAUACAAUGUGGUAUUGGCUUAUGUGUUGUAGCACUUGGCUGUGCUUAUCUCACUUGGCUGAAAUGGAUAGGCCAGAUGAAGUAUACCAUUAGCACAGACUCUUAGAGUAUUCCGUGAUACUAAUCUAGUCUGUAGUGGGU